AGUGCCGAGCCAGGCAGCGAUGUUGUUUUCGUUCUUUGUGGAAGUGGGUCAGCGGCGGGUCCGGGUUCGGGUUCGGGAUCGGGAUCGGGAUCGGGAGGGGGUCCUCGCCCCCUUGGACGGGGAGCCGGAGACGGAUUAUUCUCUGCGGGGCAACACCAACAAUUUCCAUUCAACCUGCUGUGAGAGGUUUAUUGGAAAAAAAAACCCAACUGGAAGCAAACCACGGCUGAAGAUGUAGGAACAGCAACAAGUGAACUGGCCCGAGGACUGAGAACAUCAACUGGAGAGAACAACACUGAAUCAGGUGACUUGGAGUUCCCAGUGAGUCAGUGAGGAGGAAGUUUGGUGAGUCUCAUUUACUCAGACACUGGUCCUUUAUACAUUACAUGCCUGUACAUUAGAAGGUGGGAAAUAGUUGGUGUUUGAAGUCAUUCUGACAAAAUGUUAUUAACCUGAAUUGUAAAGUUUGUUCCUGUCCCCACAGCUGUUCCUUACCUGCUGAGCAGUUUGGUAAUUCCAAUUUCUUUUUAUUACAUUCACUCUGGAUUAGUUUAUGUUUCCUGAAUUGUACCUGUUUUAAUGUGGGAGUGGAAAUGGCUCACUCUGUGAUAGUAGAACAGUAAAGUAACCACAACUUUUCCCUGCAAAUUACCCUGGUGCCAAUUAGAUUGUUAUUCCUAGAAAUGUGUUCAGUACAGUUGUUGUGAACAAGGCUUACAAGAAUAAUCUCAGGAAUGUUCGGCAUUAUGUAUGAGGAGCAUUUGAUUGUUCUGGACCAGUGCUCAAUGGAGUUCAUCAGGACGGUGGGAGUGGUGGGGGAUGUAUGGUUAAGUAAACCUACCAAAUGCUGAAAAGCCUGGAUACGGUGGACACAGAGAGGAUGUUUCCAUUAGACUGUGAUCUGACAGCGCAGUCUCAGAAUAAAGAAGCUUCCCUUUAAAACUGAGAGGAGAAAAAAAAAAUUGGCCAGAAGAUGUCUGAUCUGUGGAAUUUGUUGCCACAGAGGUUGGUUGAAGCUGCUAUUUGGGUAUAUUUAUGACAGAGAUGAACAUAUUGAUGAUUGCUCAGCAGCUCAGGGUUACAGGAGGAAGGCAGGAAUGUGGUGUUGGAAUGAAAAUCAGCCAUGGUUAAAUGGUGGGGCAGACCAGUUGGACCAAAUCACAUAAUUCUGUUCCUGACUGAAUGAUGGCUCCUCCUUAUCCCAUAUUGUUUUGUGAUGUGUGAGUGACAAUAAAAAAUAUGUUUACUGAAAUCAUUAUAUCAGCCUUCAACGUUUUGUUCUUAGUAACAUUCAGCAGAAAUGUUUGGUUCUCCUUUUUAUUGGAAGAAAAACCCCAACUAGAAGCAAACCACGGCUGAAGACGAGGGAACAGCAACAAGUGCACCAGCCUGAGGACUGAGAGCAUUAACUGGAGAGAUCAACUCUGCCUCAGGAGAAUCGGAGAUUCCAUUGAUUCAGUCAGGAGAAAGUUUGUCUCUUUCAGGGAGCGAUGAACUUGGUGUCUAAGAUCCCGCUGAUCAUCGACACUGUUCAGGGUUUUGCAUUUAACAGUGUACUGUCUCAUACAUUCGACCUACCGAGCUGCCAAGAUGAUCAUCACUAAUCAAAUCUCACUGAGAUUUCUCAGGUCCUGUUGAAUUUAUUGCCAAGUGCACAAGUACGGGAAGGUACAGGUACAAAGAAACACUGACUUGUGGCAGCAUCACAGACAAGUACAUUCAGUUAACACACGGAACACAAAUUAUACGAUUCUCUGUCAGUAACAAUCUAUAAAUAUGCUUUAUGACAUUAACAACAUAUAAAACACAUUGGGCCAUGAUCAAUAUUAAAAUGAUUUGUGUCAAUAACAGUCUUGGAAAUGUUGAAUUCGGUCCCUGUCUCCAUUCCUCCUGUAAUCCACAACCAGCUCCUUUGUUUUUGUCACAAUGAGGGAGAGGUUGUUUUCUUGACACCACUGUGUCGGGGUGAUGACUUCUUCUCUGUCGGCUGCCUCGUUAUUGUUUGGGAUUCGGCCGAUCAAAGUAGUGCCGUCAGCAAAUCUAAUUAGCAGAUUGGAACCCCCCACUGCAGCCCCACAGUGCACUAUGUACUGAUUGCAAAGCUACGAAAUUGCAUGUGAAUAGCCUCCCCUCCCCCAACUCCACUCUUUCUGCCUCACCAGCAGACUGGGACAUCUCACAUCUCGCUGCCUCCGCCAGGACAUUAAACUGUGAACAACUGUGGUCAGGGACUGCUCUCUGGGGUACUCCAAACACUACCUCCUUCCAGUCUGUAAACGACCCACUCAUCCAGACACACACUACCGGCAGUUUAUCGAUCUCCAACGAAAAAGCCUUAUCACCUACUCCCGAUGUUCAAUACCAUUGCUGACUCUGAUUUUACCACUUCAAAUGCCAGGAGGGACCAUCUGGUCCCUUCCCAUGAUUCUGUUCCAUAUCAGUAUAUGAAAAUACAUCCCUGCCUUUCUCCUCUCGCGUUCCCUGAGAUGACAGGUUGCAACUAGUCACCACUCCAAGGGAUAGGAGAUUGCCAUUGAAUUUCAUAGAAUCAGAGAAAUCUACAGCACAUUGCAGACAGUUUGGCCUUUAUCUUAGUCCCAACUGCUUAGAAUUACCCUACCACAUAGCCACCUAUUUUCCUAAGAUCCAUGUACCUAUCUGAGUCUCUUAAAAGAUCCUAUUUUAUCCGACUCUACCAUAUCGCUGGCACUGCAUUCCAUAAACACACACCACUGUUGUUUAAAAAUCUUAGCUCUGACAUCUCCUCUGUACUUACUUCCAAGCAGUUUAAACCUAUUCCCCCUCGUGUUAGCCGUUUCUGCCCUGGGGAAAGCCUCUGGCUAUCCACACGACCAAUGCCUCUCAUCAUCUUAUACACCUGCAUGAAUUUCCUGCAUGAUUUUCUCCGGGCUGAACAAGAGGAUGAGCUCACUGUGGUUGUGACGUUGUUCAGGGCCCCGGACGAAGUUGGUUAAACUCCUUCUUCCCCGCUCUUUUCAAUGUUUUAGGUCAUUCUCACUAAUUUCAAAGGUCUUCGCUUCGAACUGCUGGGUUGUUACAAUGAACAUCUGAAGUCUGACAGCAGACUAGCGAGUGAAUGGAGCAGAGUCAGAAACCAAGUUGCCAGUCAGAGAUUUGGGGCUCCAGAAAGAGAUGGGGCCUGGUUUACAAGGAGGAGGAAGAAGAGAAACCGAACCUGCAGGAUGUGGCUACAAAUGAAAGAUCAGACACAUUUGGAAUCUGCUUGAUUGGAAAAAAAGGUGGUUAAUUUCUGCAAAAUACUGGAGGAAAUCAACAGAUCAGGCAGCAAAUGUGGAGAGGAAUAAAUAGACAACGUUUACGCCGAGCCCCUUCAGCAUGCCUAGACUGUGUACUCCUCUGCUUAGUUGCUACCUGA